AUGGUGAAGGUGAAGACCAAAGUAAAUGGAUUUGGCCAUGUUGGGUGUCUGGUCACCAGGGCUGCUUUUAACUUUGGCAAAGUGGAUACUGUCACCAUCAAUGACCCCUUCGUUGACUUCAACUACAUGAUCCACAUGGUCCAGUAUGAUUCCACCCAUGGCAAGUUCCAUGGCACCAUUAAAGCUGAGAAUAGGAAGCUUGUCAUCAAUGGAAAUCCCAUUACCAUCUUCUAAGAGCGAGAUCCCACCAAAAUCAAAUGGUGUGAUGCUGGUGCUGAUUAUGUUGUGUAGUCCACUGGCAUCUUCAAUACCAUGAGAAGGCUGGAGAUGUCUUAGAAGAGGGAGCCAAAAGGGUCAUCAUCUCUGCCCUUUCUGCUGACACCCCCUUGUUCAUGAUAGGCAUGAAUCAUGAGAAGUACAAAAACAGCCUCAAGAUCAUCAGCAAAGCCUCCUGUACCACCAACUUCUUAGCCCCCCUGGCCAAGGUCAUCCGUGACAACUUUGGCAUCAUAGAAGAACUUAUAACCACAGUCCAUGCCAUCACUGCCACAGAAGACCCUGGAUGGCUCCUCUGGGAAACUGUGGCAUGAUGGCCAUGUGGCUCUCCAGGACAUCAUCCCUACAUCUACUAGUGGUGCCAAGGCUGUGGGCCAGGUUACUCCCGAGCUGAAUGGGAAGCUCAUUGGCAUGGCCUUCCAUGUCUCCACUGCCAAAUUGUUGGUCAUGGACCUGACUUGCCAUCUGGAGAAAGCUGCCAAAUAUGAUGACAUCAAGAAGGUGGUAAAGCAGGAAUUGGAGGCCCCCUCAUGGGCAUCCUGGGCCACACGAGCACCAGGUUGUCUCCUCUGACUUUAACAGCAACUUCCACUCUUCUGCCUUCAAUGCUGGGGCUGGCAUUGCCCUCAACAAUCACUUUGUCAACCUCAUUUCCUGGUAUGACAAUGAAUUUGGCUACAGCAACAGGGUGGUGGACCUCAUGGCCCACAAAGCCUCCAAGGAGUAA
rnacentral:lncRNA from 1 species